CCAACGGCCCUCUUUAGGGCCACAAAAUAACGGAAAUCCAUCUUGU
rnacentral:ncRNA from 14 species